GCCCAAUUUCUUUGCUAUUGUUAAAUUUUAUUUUUUGUUACUUUUUUUCAAUACUUACCCAUUCUCGAACAUUAUGAUGCCUACAAGGAAGAUAUCAACGAUGAUAUCAAUUUGGCCAUCAAAGACGUGACAUAGAGCUGUUCUUUGUCAUUUGGUCACAGACUGCGACUUAUCACCGUAUUUUUACUUGCAUUAAGCAAUAUGACAGAUGCUAAUAG
rnacentral:lncRNA from 1 species